rnacentral:rRNA from 1 species
CAGUCGCGUUCUCUGGGAUUCAGCCUUGCUUCUUGCUUGGUGCAUUUCCUAGUCUACGGGCCAGCAUGAAUCUUGAGCGGUGGAAAAAGGGUUUGGGGAAUGUGGCACCUCCGGGUGUGUUAUAGCCCCUUGCUGUAUACACUGGUUGGGAUUGAGGUUUCAGUGCACGCUUCGGUUGUGCUUUGAUGCUGGCGUAAUGGCUUUAAGCGACCCGUCUUGAAACACGGACCAAGGAGUCUAAACAUAUAUGCGAGUGUUCCUGAG